ensembl:lincRNA
UCCAUUUCAUGACAAAUUUAAGCAAGCUCCAUCCUCGUUCUCCCUGCAGGUGGAAUAUCAUGGAUGGGGCAUGGAAACAGACCUGCCCGCAUUGAGCCCAGUGCAGCUCUCUGUGCAAUGGAUCUUGGCCUAGUUUCCAUGUCCAGUUUCUGGCAGCCUCCAGUUCCUCCCAGGCCCCAGUGCAGACAUCUCCAUGCAGCGCCCCUGCUGCCUGCUGUCUGGGGAUCUGACGGCCGGGCUCAGCAUGGACUCCAGCCGCCAGCCCUGAUCCCCCUGGAGAUCAGGGAGAGGCCCUGGCAGCUC